CAGCCGCGCGGUAAUACAGAGGGUGCGAGCGUUAAUCGGAUUUACUGGGCGUAAAGCGUGCGUAGGCGGCUUCUUAAGUCGGAUGUGAAAUCCCUGAGCUUAACUUAGGAAUUGCAUUCGAUACUGGGAAGCUAGAGUAUGGGAGAGGAUGGUAGAAUUCCAGGUGUAGCGGUGAAAUGCGUAGAGAUCUGGAGGAAUACCGAUGGCGAAGGCAGCCAUCUGGCCUAAUACUGACGCUGAGGUACGAAAGCAUGGGGAGCAAACAGGAUUAGAUACCCGGGUAGUCCCUGUCUCUUAUACA
rnacentral:rRNA from 1 species